GAAAUGCGAUAAGUAGUGUGAAUUGCAGAAUUCAGUGAAUCAUCGAAUCUUUGAACGCACAUUACGCCCCUUGGUAUUCCAUGGGGCAGGCCUGUUCGAGCGUCAUUUGUACCCUCAAGCUUUGCUUGGUGUUGGGUGUUUGUCCCGCGUUACGCGUGGACUCGCCUUAAAGCGAUUGGCAGCCGGCAUAUUGGCCUUGGAGCGCAGCACAUUUUGCGCUUCUAGUCAUGAAUGUUGGCGUCGAUUAAGCCUAUACAUUUGCUCUUGACCUCGGAUCAGGUAGGGAUACCCGCUGAACUUAA
rnacentral:misc_RNA from 1 species